rfam:Virgibacillus sp. LM2416 chromosome, complete genome.
AAUUCCUUUAAUACGGUCCAGAGAGGCUGAAAAGGGUGGUAUAAGCUAAACAUUGAUAAUGGUAUAUCUACGGAUAUUUAUGCCCUUUUGUCCUCUAUGACAAAAGGGCAUUUCUU